rnacentral:rRNA from 1 species
AGUGAACGCUGGCGGUAGGCCUAACACAUGCAAGUCGAACGGCAGCACAGUAAGAGCUUGCUCUUACGGGUGGCGAGUGGCGGACGGGUGAGGAAUACAUCGGAAUCUACUUUUUCGUGGGGGAUAACGUAGGGAAACUUACGCUAAUACCGCAUACGACCUACGGGUGAAAGCAGGGGAUCUUCUGACCUUGCGCGAUUGAAUGAGCCGAUGUCGGAUUGGCUAGUUGGCGGGCUGAUGGCCUACCAAGGCGAGGAUCGGUAGCUGGUCUGAGUGGAUGGUAGGCGGCACUGGAGCUGGGACACGGUCCAGACUCCUGAGGGACGCACCAGUGGGCAAUAGUGGACAACAGUGGCGAGUAUGGUACAGUCAGAGCGAGUGGGUUAAAGAAGCGCUGGGUUUGUAAUGACGGUCUUCUGGGAAUAAAAAGCAGCCGCUUAUGACCACGCGUUUCUGACGGUACCCAAUAAAUAAGCACCGGCUAACUACGUG